CCUACGGGAGGCAGCAGUGGGGAAUUUUGGGCAAUGGACGCAAGUCUGAUCCAGCCAUGCCGCGUGCGGGAAGAAGGCCUUCGGGUUGUAAACCGCUUUUGUCAGGGAAGAAACGGCUCUGGUUAAUACCUGGGGCUAAUGACGGUACCUGAAGAAUAAGCACCGGCUAACUACGUGCCAGCAGCCGCGGUAAUACGUAGGGUGCAAGCGUUAAUCGGAAUUACUGGGCGUAAAGCGUGCGCAGGCGGUUAUGCAAGACAGAUGUGAAAUCCCCGGGCUCAACCUGGGAACUGCAUUUGUGACUGCAUAGCUAGAGUACGGUAGAGGGGGAUGGAAUUCCGCGUGUAGCAGUGAAAUGCGUAGAUAUGCGGAGGAACACCGAUGGCGAAGGCAAUCCCCUGGACCUGUACUGACGCUCAUGCACGAAAGCGUGGGGAGCAAACAGGAUUAGAUACCCUGGUAGUCCACGCCCUAAACGAUGUCAACUGGUUGUUGGGAGGGUUUUCUUCUCUAGUAACGAGACUACGCGUGAGUAGACCGCCGUGGGAGGUACGGCCGGCGAGGUAGAACGUACGAAAGAAGUAGUACGGCGUGAGACGUAGCCGACGGACGACGACGAGGGAGGAGGG
rnacentral:rRNA from 1 species